AGGAUGUAUAUAUAUAUGAAUGAAACAUAAGCCUGCCAUUUUCCCUUUUAAACUUUAACCUCCCAAGGGCAGGGAUCCUGUGUACUUUCCCUCCUCAGUGUAUCUAUUGCAGUCCUUUAAUGUCCUGUGGGCAUUUAGUAGCUGUUAUACAGCCAGCUGGUGAAAUGGUUGUUACCUGCACUGGGUGCUGGUCUGCGGCUAUCCAUAGAGACCCUGUUGCUUGAGAAAUGUCUAAAACCUCUUUGCCCUAUCAUUUUCUUUUUCCUCUGUUGAAACUAGGUACAUCCUAGGAUUCAUUUAUCUUUUUUCCAAAGAAUAUUUCUGUAUGAACUUUUGCUACCUUAAUAGAAAACUGAAUAAGGCUCUUAGGGCAGAGACAAAUCACCUACAGUUUUGUGAUGUGGAGUCUCUUAAUUGAUAAUCUUGUGACCAAACAUUAGACCAAACAUUUUCAAUAAUUUGUUGAACAGAUUCAGGAUAGAGUAGCUAUGUUGGAGGCUCCACAUGACUCAUCCAUGAGAGGGGUGUUGUACUUACUGUAUAUUACUUUUUUUUUUUUUUGUCCUUUUGGAGCCACACUCAUGGCAUUGGGAGUUUCCCAGGCUAGGGGUCGAAUCAGAGCUACAACCACAGAGACGCCAGAUCUGAGCCGCGUCUGCGACCUACACUAUAACUCACAGCAGUGCUGGAUCCUUAACCCACUGAGCAAGGCCAGGGAUUGAACCUGUGUCCUCAUGGAUUCUAGUCAGAUUCAUUUAUUCUGAGCCAUGACAAGAACUCCUACUUUAUAUUACUUUUUAAGGUAAUUGUUUUAAAUAAUUAUUAUUCAAGUGUUUCCUUUGCUAAAAGAAAUGGACUAUGUUAACCUUACCUAUGCUCAGGAUCUGUAUCAUAAAUUGGAUCCUUCCAGAAACAAAAGUAUUUCUAUUGGGAUUUUUAUUACUGAUCAAGAACACUUACACUAUUGCAUUAGAAUCAUCUGUAUAGUAAGCUCCUUGUUUGUUUGUAUUACCUAGCACCAGACAAACUCUAAGUAGAUGUCUUGAAUUUACCAGUGGAAGUGGUGAAUAAUGAUGUUUAUUAGAUAGAAUAGCAGGUUUUUAUUUUUUGUUUUGUCUUUUUUUGGGCUGCACCCGUGGCAUAUGGGAGUUCCAAGGCUAGGGGUCAAAUCAGAGCUGCAGCUGCCAGCCUACACCACAGCCGCAGCAACGCCAGAUCUGAGCCACAUCUGUGACCUAAACUGAAGCUUAUGGCAACACAGGAUCCUCAACCCACUGAGCAAGGCCAGAGAUUGAACCCCCAUCCUCAUGGUUACUAGCUAGGUUCAUUAUAAUUGAGCCAUGAUGGGAACUCCUAGAAUAGCAGUUCUUCAAGUGGGAUCUAACUCACCAUUUUGAAACCCAGACAGGUCCACCAGAAAACAACCAGGAUUCUUAACUCAUUGUCACUAGAGCCUUGUGGCUAAGGGCUGUUCCUUCCCUUGCCUGGCUGUUCUAUAAGCCAUGGAUAUUUUACAGACAGUAUUCCCUUCAGUGAUCUAUCCAGGAGUCCUGCUUGUCCUCCACAUCCUGCCCUUCCCUGCUUUCUAUAAAGUUAUGGAGAACAGCCUUUACUAUAUUCUCAGUGUCUCCUCUACAGUUUCCAUCUUCCUUGAUACAACAUCCAAGGAGCAGCUGGGAGCAGAAAGAUUCAAAUAAGCAAUCAAUCACCAUAAUAGUCAUAGAGUCUCUCCCCUAGUAUUUGACAUUUUGUUGAUAUGCUAUCAGAGCACUUCACACUUGGCUGGUAAGCCAUGAAAACAAUUACUGGGUCACUAACAGGAACUAAAAAAAAGUGUCCUUCUAAAACAACACCCUAAAAAUUGCUAAAGCCGUAGCAUUCUGAAAUAAAUGCAAGAUUGUUCUGUGGUACACAUGGAAAUUAUAUACUGUGCUCUAAAGGCAGCAACAAUGAGGUAAAGAAAAUAAAAUAUUUCUUAGAUUUGAGGGCAGUCUUGAUUUUGAGUGAUUGGUAAUAUCCAUAAAUCAUUUAAGAUUUCCUUGGAACCUCCCUAUAUUAGCAGUCAGUAAAUGGAUCUGGUAAGGAAGCAUUAUUGCGUAAGUAAGAGUUAAUGGAACCAUCUCUCCUGGGUGACCAUAUUUUCUGGGUGGCACAUAAAUGCAGCAUUAAAUUAAAGGAAAAUAGAGGCUUAGGGAAAGGGUGAUUUGCCAUUUUAAGAUGCACUCUGUGAUUUCCUGAAACCACUCAGAUGGUGAAGAGUGAAUAGUAGAGGAGAAAUUUAGGGGCCAGGAUAUUAAGAGAAUAUGCAUUGCUUAAAACCUUUCCCACAUUAUUGCUCAGAGGGUGAGUGACAUUUGCAGAUCAAGGUGGAUAGAGGCAAAUCCCACGCUACCACAUUGUAUGGUUAGGUAAUUGUCUUUAUGAGGGAAAUUUAUAAACCAGGGCCAGCAAGAAGAGGCACAUGCACCUACACCCUCGCAUCCUUCAUGCAGAACCAUUGGGACCUAAGUGAAGUUGCUGGACCCACAACUGGCUUAUCGUUGGAGGAAGUACCCCACCUUUUGUGGCCCAUCUGCUUCAUAGGGUGAGCAUGUGAGCAUUGUGAUCUGAGGCCCAGGGCCACAGAUGACCUGGGUGCCAGAAACCUUGGGUUUGGAUGCCAGAUGAUAUAGGAGUUACAUGAUAAAGUCCAUAUACCUAGAGAGUUUGGGAUUUUUGGAGGAUUGGGGAUGUGGCUGCUGUGUGUGGAAGCUGAGUUCAGUUGUAGCUCCUCCCAAACUGGAGAAGAAGUUAGAGGUCUUAGCUAGCUGCUUAUCUGAUUAAACCAAAAUGCUACCAGAAUUAUCUUUCUGGUUAGUAGCAUCAAAUUGACUUCUUGGAGAGUAGCUUCAUGGAGAACAGAGAGGCUCUGAACAAAUUAACAUAUAUUUAAAGGAUACUAACUAUAUAUUGAGCUUCAUACUCCUUCAUUUAGUUUUGGUAAGAUUGCAUUUUACAGACAGGGAAACAGAUGUUUUAGAGAGGUUAAUAAGUGGCACAAUCCCAAUUUGAACACAAAACUGAUGUGCUCUGCAUUGUACAGUCCUGGCUUCCAGACUAGUGAGCUUUCUGAUACAAAGUCACCUUCCAUAUCUGUGAAAUUGUAGGAGCUCUAAGAGAUGGGCUCUGAGAAGAAUUCAGAGGUAGUU
rnacentral:lncRNA from 1 species